GACGAACGCUGGCGGCGUGCUUAACACAUGCAAGUCGAACGGAAAGGCCCUGCUUUUGUGGGGUGCUCGAGUGGCGAAAGGGUGAGUAACACGUGAGUAACCUGCCCUUGACUUUGGGAUAACUUCAGGAAACUGGGGCUAAUACCGGAUAGGAGCUCCCGCUGCAUGGUGGGGGUUGGAAAGUUUCGGCGGUUGGGGAUGGACUCGCGGCUUAUCAGCUUGUUGGUGGGGUAGUGGCUUACCAAGGCUUUGACGGGUAGCCGGCCUGAGAGGGUGACCGGCCACAUUGGGACUGAGAUACGGCCCAGACUCCUACGGGAGGCAGCAGUGGGGAAUAUUGCACAAUGGGCGGAAGCCUGAUGCAGCAACGCCGCGUGCGGGAUGACGGCCUUCGGGUUGUAAACCGCUUUCGCCUGUGACGAAGCGUGAGUGACGGUAAUGGGUAAAGAAGCACCGGCUAACUACGUG
rnacentral:rRNA from 1 species